UGGGGAAUCUUGCACAAUGGAGGAAACUCUGAUGCAGCGACGCCGCGUGAGCGAUGAAGCCCUUCGGGGUGUAAAGCUCUUUCGACGGGAACGAUAAUGACGGUACCCGGAGAAGAAGCUGCGGCUAACUACGUGCCAGCAGCCGCGGUAAUACGUAGGCAGCAAACGUUGUUCGGAAUUACUGGGCGUAAAGAGUGUGUAGGCGGUUUUGCAAGUUUGGUGUGAAAUCUCCCGGCUUAACUGGGAGGGUGCGCCGAAAACUGCAAGGCUCGAGUACUGGAGAGGAAAGCGGAAUUCCUGGUGUAGCGGUGAAAUGCGUAGAUAUCAGGAGGAACACUGGUGGUGUAGACGGCUUUCUGGACAGUCACUGACGCUGAGACACGAAAGCGUGGGGAGCAAACA
rnacentral:rRNA from 1 species